AUGGUCAUGGCAUGGGGCCGUGCCCUGCACCUGUUGCUUCAACGUUGCUGUGGCAACACCCUACUGUGGACCCUCCAACACCCCACUGGGGCCAGGCUGGCCCCCAGACCUUGCCCAGCAAGGGUGGCCCUAUGCAUGCCACAUAACGAUGGGGACCCUUCAGGGACCCCAAGCCAGCCCCAGCCCAUGGGGUGUCCCUGUGGAAAUGUCCUGUGUCCCCUGGUGCUGAGGGGCAACCCCCAGCACUGCCCCAUGUCCCACAACCCCUGUCGCCCAACAGCCCUAAGGAGGGACGAUGCCUGCCGGUGCCCAGGAGCCCCGUGCAAGCACACGAUGUCUGCCCGCACCAGGGCACGUCCCACAGCACCUGUGCCAGCCAGGUGUGUCCCAGAGCUGGGUACUGCCUGUGCUGCAGAGCUGAGUCUGCAGCCCUGUGCCCUGGUCACCCCCAACUCCCACAGAGCCACAUGCUCUGGCCAGCAGCACCCCGAUAACCACGAAAACAGACCCCCCCCCCCCCCAGGACGGCUGGGUCGGGAGGCAACACCUCUCCUGGGAUCUCCCUGGAAGUGGGGCUGGCCCCAGCCCAAGGACACAGCUCUUGCGGGACUGCGGCGCCAUCCCUUCCCAUCACUGCAGAGCUGCUGGAACAGCACCCCUACCUGCCGUAGCCCGGCACUGCCAGCAGCGGUGUCACCCGGGUCCAUCGGGCCAGCACUCGGGGGCACCCCCACCCCGAGGAACAGCCCAGGCAGCACAGCCUGCGCACAUGUGCACACACACACUCGCGUGUACACGCACACGCACAGGCAGGCGCCCGAUGGGAGCUGCCCGUUCCUGGUAUACAGUGGGAUGAAGGCGCUGACAGCAGCCUGGCCAGGCUCGCAGGAUGGUUUGGGUGGGAAGGGACCUUUAAAGGUCCCCUGGCCCAGCCCCCGCAGUGAGCAGGGAUACCUGUACCAAACCAGGUUGCUCAGAGCCCCGUCCAGCCUGGCGCUGAUGUUUCCAGGGAUGGAACACCCAAGCACCCCCUGCCUGUCCAGGCAGCCCAUACCAGUACCUCACUGCCCUAAGCAAAGAGACUCCUCUACAGAGACUGUGCAGCCAUGGUGCCAGUCCCUGGCUGUGGAGUUUGUUCCAAGGCAUGGAAUGGGGCUGAAACAGUUCCUCACCCCCAAACUGGUGGCCUGGGCAGUGCCUUCCCGACACAGCCAGGUACCGCAGGCAGUCCCCCCCAUCUCAGCACAGCCGGGCACCCCUAGGCCAGUGCCUUACAGGAAAGCUCCUACUUUAUCAAGGGAAUUGAGCACCACAAAUUGGUCUCCUAAGUCGAUUCUGCCUGCUGCCAGGCCUCUUCCCACCACCUAA
rnacentral:lncRNA from 1 species